GACGAACGCUGGCGGCGUGCUUAACACAUGCAAGUCGAACGAAGUGGCGAACGGGUGAGUAACGCGUAAUCAACCUGCCCUUCAGUGGGGGACAACAGUCGGAAACGACUGCUAAUACCGCAUACUGAAGGAGGGGAUUGCGUCUGAUUAGCUAGUUGGAGGGGUAACGGCCCACCAAGGCGAUGACCAGUAGCCGGUCUGAGAGGAUGAUCGGCCACAUUGGGACUGAGACACGGCCCAGACUCCUACGGGAGGCAGCAGUGGGGAAUCUUCCGCAAUGGACGAAAGUCUGACGGAGCAACGCCGCGUGAGUGAAGAAGGUUUUCGGAUCGUAAAGCUCUGUUGUUAGAGAAGCGGUAUCUAACCAGAAAGCCACGGCUAACUACGUGCCAGCAGCCGCGGUAAUAC
rnacentral:rRNA from 1 species